GACGAACGCUGGCGGCGUGCUUAACACAUGCAAGUCGAACGAUGAAGCCUAGCUUGCUAGGUGGAUUAGUGGCGAACGGGUGAGUAAUACGUGAGUAACCUACCUUUAACUCUGGGAUAAGCCCGGGAAACUGGGUCUAAUACCGGAUACGAUCAAUCUCCGCAUGGGGUGUUGGUGGAAAGCGUUAUGUAGUGGUUAUAGAUGGGCUCACGGCCUAUCAGCUUGUUGGUGAGGUAACGGCUCACCAAGGCGACGACGGGUAGCCGGCCUGAGAGGGUGACCGGCCACACUGGGACUGAGACACGGCCCAGACUCCUACGGGAGGCAGCAGUGGGGAAUAUUGCACAAUGGGCGCAAGCCUGAUGCAGCGACGCCGCGUGAGGGAUGACGGCCUUCGGGUUGUAAACCUCUGUUAGCAGGGAAGAAGAGAGAUUGACGGUACCUGCAGAGAAAGCGCCGGCUAACUACGUG
rnacentral:rRNA from 1 species